UGCUGACCUGGCCCUGUCCUCUGCUGUCCAGGGCUCCCGGGAGCCGGGGGAGACGCUGCCUCAGAAGCUGAAGCA
ensembl:snoRNA